rnacentral:rRNA from 1 species
CGUGAUGGGGUGGCCGCAAGGCUGGAAGCAACUGAUUUCACACUGUCAAGAAAAGCCGCUAGCGAGACCGUAGGUGCCCGUACCGCAAACCGACACAGGUAGAUGAGGAGAGAAUCCUAAGGUGAGCGAGAGAACUAUUGUUAAGGAACUCGGCAAAAUAACCCCGUAACUUCGGGAGAAGGGGUGCUCCGGAAACGGAGCCGCAGUGAAAAGUCCCAGGCGACUGUUUACCAAAAACACAGGUCUCUGCGAAAGCGAAAGCUGAAGUAUAGGGGCUGACGCCUGCCCGGUGCUGGAAGGUUAAGGGGAUGUGUUAGGGCAACCGAAGCACUGAACUUAAGCCCCAGUAAACGGCGGCCGUAACGAUAACGGUCCUAAGGUAGCGAAAUUCCUUGUCGGGUAAGUUCCGACCGCACGAAAGGCGUAACGAUCUGGGAACUGUCUCAACAAUGGACUCGGUGAAAUUGUAGUACCGGUAAAGAUGCCGGUUACCCGCAGCAGGACGGAAAGACCCCAUGGAGCUUUACUGUAGCUUGAUAUUGAGAUUCUGCGUUGCAUGUACAGGAUAGGUGGGAGACUGCGAGGUAAGUACGCCAGUAUUUACGGAGUCACCGUUGGGAUACCACCCUUGUAACGUUGAGUUUCUAACAUUGCGCCGUGAUCCGGCGCAUGGACAGUGUCAGGUGGGCAGUUUGACUGGGGCGGUCGCCUCCUAAAGAGUAACGGAGGCGCCCAAAGGUUCCCUCAGUGCGGUCGGAAAUCGCGCGAAGAGUGUAAAGGCAGAAGGGAGCUUGACUGCGAGACAGACAAGUCGAGCAGGGACGAAAGUCGGGCUUAGUGAUCCGGUGGUUCCGCGUGGAAGGGCCAUCGCUCAACGGAUAAAGCUACCCUGGGGAUAACAGGCUGAUACCGCCCAAGAGUUCACAUCGACGGCGGUGUUUGGCACCUCGAUGUCGGCUCGUCUCAUCCUGGGGCUGAAGUAGGUCCCAAGGGUUGGGCUGUUCGCCCAUUAAAGAGGUACGCGAGCUGGGUUCAGAACGUCGUGAGACAGUUCGGUCCCUAUCCGCUGUGGGCGUUGGAGAUUUGAGUGGAGCUGUUCCUAGUACGAGAGGACCGGGAUGGACGUAGCUCUGGUGCACCAGUUGUUCUGCCAAGGGCAUCGCUGGGUAGCCUCCUACGGACGGGAUAAGCGCUGAAAGCAUCUAAGUGCGAAGCCCCCCACGAGAAAAGAUCUCCUCC